GAUGAACGCUGGCGGCGUGCCUAAUACAUGCAAGUCGAGCGAACAGACGAGGAGCUUGCUCCUCUGACGUUAGCGGCGGACGGGUGAGUAACACGUGGAUAACCUACCUAUAAGACUGGGAUAACGUCGGGAAACCGGAGCUAAUACCGGAUAAUAUAUUGAACCGCAUGGUUCAAUAGUGAAAGACGGUUUUGCUGUCACUUAUAGAUGGAUCCGCGCAGCAUUAGCUAGUUGGGAAGGUAACGGCUUACCAAGGGGACGAUGCGUAGCCGACCUGAGAGGGUGAUCGGCCACACUGGAACUGAGACACGGUCCAGACUCCUACGGGAGGCAGCAGUAGGGAAUCUUCCGCAAUGGGCGAAAGCCUGACGGAGCAACGCCGCGUGAGUGAUGAAGGUCUUCGGAUCGUAAAACUCUGCUAUUAGGGAAGAACAAAUGUGUAAGUAACUAUGCACGUCUUGACGGUACCUAAUCAGAAAGCCACGGCUAACUACGUG
rnacentral:rRNA from 1 species